rnacentral:rRNA from 1 species
UACGUAGGGUGCAAGCGUUAAUCGGAAUUACUGGGCGUAAAGCGUGCGCAGGCGGUUCUAUAAGACAGAUGUGAAAUCCCCGGGCUCAACCUGGGAACUGCAUUUGUGACUGUAGAGCUGGAGUACGACAGAGGGGGAUGGAAUUCCGCGUGUAGCAGUGAAAUGCGUAGAUAUGCGGAGGAACACCGAUGGCGAAGGCAAUCCCCUGGGCCUGUACUGACGCUCAUGCACGAAAGCGUGGGGAGCAAACAGG